UACGAAGGGGGCUAGCGUUACUCGGAAUUACUGGGCGUAAAGCGUGCGUAGGUGGUGGUUUAAGUCUGAUGUGAAAGCCCUGGGCUCAACCUGGGAAUGGCAUUGGAAACUGGAUCACUGGAGUGCGGUAGAGGAUGGCGGAAUUCCCGGUGUAGCAGUGAAAUGCGUAGAGAUCGGGAGGAACAUCCGUGGCGAAGGCGGCCAUCUGGACCAGCACUGACACUGAGGCACGAAAGCGUGGGGAGCAAAC
rnacentral:rRNA from 1 species